GUGCUCACUUUGGCAGCACAUAUACUAAAAAUUGGAAUGAUACAGAGAAGAUUAGCAUGGCCUCUGCCCAAGGAUGACAUGCAAAUUCAUGAAGCAUUUCAUAUUUUU
ensembl:snRNA U6 U6 spliceosomal RNA